UACAGAGGUCUCAAGCGUUGUUCGGAUUCAUUGGGCGUAAAGGGUGUGUAGGUGGCGCUGUAAGUCGGGUGUGAAAUUUCGGAGCUUAACUCCGAAACUGCAUUCGAUACUGCGGUGCUUGAGGACUGGAGAGGAGACUGGAAUUCAUGGUGUAGCAGUGAAAUGCGUAGAUAUGCGGAGGAACACCGAUGGCGAAGGCAAUCCCCUGGGCCUGCACUGACGCUCAUGCACGAAAGCGUGGGGAGCAAACAGG
rnacentral:rRNA from 1 species